AACUAUUGAAUAAUUCUAUUCUUUCUUUAUGCUGUUUUUCUUGUAAAUCACCUUCCCUCUCGUGUCUGAAACCACUAGGGUUUUCUCUUCCCUUGGGAUGCCAACACCUCACUAUGAUGUGCUUUGGUACGGGACAGACCUUAUUGCAUUCAUGUUUGCAGGCAUAAAAAGGACACAUUUGAUCUGACGAUUUUUAUUUUUAUUUUUUGAAUUUUGUUGCCAGUUCAGAUUUCCCUUCUCUAUAUUUCUGUCUCUCUUUUAAAGAACAAUUUUGUUUGGAUUUUGGCCUUCUUAGAUUCAUUCUAUAUAUUACUCAUCAUUUCCUUCCUCAUUCUUAGUGCACUUUCUUUUUGUACUAGCUCAUGGAACAUUUCUUCAGUUUUACUCUCCAGUUUGAUUCAAGUUUUAUUUGCAAAAGAAAAAAAUGUUCUUUGUUUUACCCUUUUACAUAACCUCUGCUUCUGGGUAUAGAAUGUAUAUCUUUGCUUAUUUUCCUAAAGAUCGUAGAUUUAAAAAUCUUACAUCCUUUUCCAUCAUUUGUUUUCUCUAAAUGUUUUGUUUUUGUUUCUUUUUUCUUGAAUAGUCUUCCCUUUUCUACUAGGGGUUUUCCUAAAUCAUCUAGGGUAACUUGGCAUUCUUUAGCUAAGAGUGAAUCUUUAAAAGAUUAUUCCAAAGUCCUGAGUGUGUGUGCAGAAUUAAGUGACCUGUGAGCUCUUCUGAGGGGGUAAUUGAACUGAAUUUCUCAAGUGCAAACAAAUAAAACUGAUAAUUCCUUUAGAGUCCUUUAGUAGUUUGUUAAAAAUUUAUCUUCUGACAAUCUUUUUUUAUACCGGUCAGUGUGCAGAGGGCAGGCUAAGGAAGGGGGACCGUGCAGCUGAACUAUUUAGUUCACAGUUGUUGUGUCUCCGUUAUACUGCCUCCAUCUGCAUCCCUUAGUCUAAACCUUUCUCAUAUUCCAAUUGGACAGAAAACUACGUUUUAACCACCAAUUUAGGAAACCAAAAGCCUGCCUGCUUGUGGUGACAGAAGGCUCUAACUACUCCAUAGGAGAAUUUCAACCCCUGUUGUUAGCUCCUCUUCUCAACUUCGCCCUUCUUGAAUUAAUGGUAUCUCAAAUAAGAGACAAGAUGGAAAAAAAAAAAAACCCUGCCACUUGAAAAUAUACUCUAAUUAACUUUAGAUGGUUUAUCUGUUAAAGGGGUUUUGUUAGACUUACUUUGAAUUUCUAGGCUAAUUUAAGAAUUUUCAGUCUUAUGGUAUUAUUAUUUCUACUAAUAAUACUAUUACAUAUUCCUACUUUAAGAAUAAGGUAAACCUUUCCAAUUAUUUUGAUCACCAUGACUUGCAAGGUUACACAAUUUUCUUCAUGUUAGGCUUUUUACUAAAAGUAUUUCUCUGAGGAAGAACAUGGGACACAACGGGAGAGCAAGGUCAAGAGCCUGAAGAAUUCCCUGAUGAAUGACCCACAUACAGUGCAAAAAGACAAACAGCAUGACAGAGAAUUAAGAGACCCCAAAAUAAAUCCAGAAAUUCCAACAGCAUUCUAACAAGAAUUUGAGAAGAAAACAGAAAUAAUGGAGGGAAGAAUCCAUUCAUUCUUUUUAAAAAUUUCCUGAAGUUGUAGUAUAAGGAAAAUAUGCAUUCUCCACACUCACAUCUUAAUUUACAUUGUACCAAAAUUUCGGAAAGCUAAAGAGAAAAUUCUAAAAGAUACAAAACAGAAAAUCACAUUAAUAUGAAGACUAUUUUUAUCCUCAUGUUAGACAGAUAAGAAAUCUCAACCAGCCUGCAGAAACUUAUUUCUCUGGAGCAAGCUUUACCUGUCAUUCAUAUCAGAAGGUCCCAGGGAUGUCACAGUUCAGCACUGAACUCCUGAGUGUUGUCACUGCCCGUCUCUGAGGGACCACCGAAUUGCAGCUGGCAGCACAGCACUCUUCUGUCCUCCCAGGACUAUAAUACUUGCAGACUUUUCAGUCUUUUAUUAACCCUGUCCACCUGGAGAACUGUCCUCGCCUAUGACUCCUCCAACUCCUAAAAAUCCAUUUGGAACAAAAGUUGAGGACUGAAUAUUUUGAAUUCAAGAUCUUCCUUCCUUUCGCUAGGAGGAAAGAGAAACAUUUUUUUUCAGGAAGGAAAAGAGAGUGCUCAAGUCCUCACAUGCUUGAGCCCUAACCCUUUAUUUCCUUACCUUUAUUUAAAGGUCCAAAAAGAAAUAAAUAUGUUCAUUCCAAGAUCCCUCUGAGAUUCUAAGUGCACCGUGCAGCUUUUAGUGGGUACAGAUUCCAGCUCCAUCAGCGGCUGGCUGAGUAGGCUCUGGUGAGCCAUUAAAAUUCUACUGUUCUUCACGUCGUCGUCUUCAUGUAGAAAUCCUGCUGGCUUUGCCUUAUCUGACUAACAGAUGUUUUGUGUGUGGAUGUAGUCUGAUGAUAUACACAAAAGAGUUAUAGGAAAACUUAGAGGGCAUCAUUAUCUUCUUCUGAUGUCUUUGUCUUCGUUAAUGUGAGUUUCAAAAUUUAAGCUGAGCUCAAAUUGUGCUUUCAGUUUACUCCAGAAUGAGCAGCGUCUCCUUCUUGGUGUACUGUGGUUGAAUCUCCUUCUUUCUUAUCUCCACCCAUCUUAUUUCCAUUGAGGAUUUGGAGGGUGUGUGAGUCACUUCUGCUCUGGAUCACUGACAUGCUCAGCUCUUCCCCUAAAGCAUGAAGCAUGAAGAUACAGUGCUAUUGGCUGGCUGGACCCCUGUGGAGCUCUCUACUGAGCAGUGACAUCCGCAGUCUUCGAGCUUCCCAAGGGAUGUCCCAGUUGGUAAACUGGCACUUCGUAGCCAGGGGAGGCUGACUUUCCAUUGGCAGGGCCGUGAUUCCACCCAGUCAGGGUUAUCACGUAAAGUAUCUCUCACUCAUCAGGCCAAAUAUUAACAUGUCUGUGUUCUCAGAACUUUACACCUAUUAGUUUAUUUAAUCGAGACAACAAUUUUUUAUUAUCCUAUGUCAUGGGAAGGAAAACUGAGACUCAGAUUGGUUCACAAUUUGAGUUGCUCUAAUUGACAAGUGUUGAUGAGUAGCAGAACUGAUAUUUGACCCCAGACAAUCUCUUUCCUAGGUUUUUAACCACAUUGUCCUAUCUUUUGAAUCAGCUUUGCUCAACUAGCUAAAAAAAUCUCCCAACAUUUAAAGUGUGUAAGAGGGUGCAUGCAUGCUUUGGUUGGUGAUGUAAAUAUAAAUGUCAACUCUUGUAUUUCUAUCUGUAAUAGUCUACUUUCUCCUUGCUCAAUACCCCAAUCAAAUGAAUAUCAGUUUCCUUGGUGCUUGAGUAGUAGGCUAACGGUAGGUAAAACUGCAUAAAUUGUUAGUAUUUAACCAUUUUAUCUGGUUCAACCUAAUAUUUGUUGAGCCUUGCUUACACAGGUACACAAUUGGUCCUGGUAUUGUCCUUAUCUUUUUAUUUAAUUUUCACACCAAUACUUCAAUGUAUUUUAAAUUCCAUUUUCUCACAAGGAAACAAGCUCAAACUAGCUGGAGAUCAGCUAGCAAAUGUAGUGGUAGAGACAGGGAUCUUCUUACAGGAGGGAACCUUCUCAUUAACAACUUCUGGCAGCUGAGUCCAGGAACUGAGCUGGAGGCCCAGGAGGCAAGAAGGCGGGAUCACAUUCAAGCAGCAGACUCAUAGGAUUUUUGAAAGGAAACAUGAGUCAAGCGGGAAAAUAAUAUGACCUCUGGACAACACUCAAGCAUGACUCAGUGAGCAGCAAUAGUCAGCUUUGGAAAACUGAGUCAGAUCUUUUUAGUUUCAUUCGAUCUUGUCUCAACCAUCAGGUUUGGCGAGCUUGUGAACAUGCUUGCUGCUGCUUUAAAGAGAAUUAAACAGUGUUUUGCCCCAUUAGACGAUGCUUUUGUGGGACGCGUGGCCAGCAGAGUCCAGAUGGAGGAUAUCUGGAACAGUGGGGACAACUGGGACUCAAGGCUGAGACAAACACAGCUGGAGAACCUAGAGGUAGUGUGGGGCAGAGACAGAAUGGGAAAGUUUGUUGUUACAAGCAAAAAAGAAUGAUAAUCUGAAGCUCUCCAGAAUCUUUUGGGUUCACUGAGAUGGACAGGGCCUGGGGACAGAGCUAAACCACCUGGAAGGGGUCUGCAGUGACCGUGUGUUAUGAACUCCUAAGGGAGGAGGGAGUGUCACAUGGCAUGAACACACUGAGUCAUGUUCCGGUGAAGUGGAGUGUUUUUCAGGGCUAGAUGGAGAAGCAGUUGUGUGGUUCGCAGGCAUUCAUUUUAAUUGUGUGAUUUUUCUCUGUAGGAAACUAUUUUCAAGUCAUUCUUUUCAAUAAAGAUUGAAUCACAUUCUUUUGAUUUGCUGCAAGCUUUAUCUGCCAUGAGCAUUUUAAAGCACCAGACAAUUGCUGCCUCAUUUUCAGAGGACUGGUUGCUGGAUCCUUGCUGAGCUAUUGCCUCUCCCAGCCUAAGACGUGGAGCUUUGUUUUCACCCCCUGGCAUAAAACUAUCAAAAAAAAGAGUGACUAGUAAUAGAUUUUUAUCUUAACUCUUUCCUGUGCAAUGUGCCGGGUAUUGGGGAGUACAAAGGCUGCCUUCUGCCAGUUUAUAAUCUAGUUGGGAGAAAAUUGACAUAAAUGCAAUGCAAGAUUGUUUAGAAUAGCAAAAUGUGGUGAACAGACAAAGUCACCGAAAGCCAUAAAGCUGGCGUUGGAGAUGGAGGAGUGCAGGCCGUGGGGAGGGGGUCAGGAGGUGUAUUCAGAAGGUUCUGGGGAGAGAAAGGCGUUUUAGGCGGAAUAACACAGUAAAGGGGUGUUGGGGGUGAGAGAGCACUUGCUUGCUAGGAGUUUGCAUUAGACUAGCUUGGGCCAAAGUGGAAACAUUGUGGAAUAAAUUCUAUGAAUGGCCUGUUGUCUCUACCCACAUGACCUCUGGUAGUCUUGUUCAGUCUUUCAAACUUAAAUAACGCUUUUAUGUUACUGAUUCCUGGAUUUGUAGCUGCAACACAACCUUUCUUUUAUAUUCAAAAUGAAACUCCUGGCUUUUCACCCUCCUGACUUGUUCCCUCACCUCUCAUCUUUUCCCUUGUCCUUCCUAGAUCUCUUUCUAAGAGGUGAAGGAAACAUUUCUAGACGCCUCCCUAGCUGGUUUCCUGUGUUCCACUGAGUAGCAUUGGUUCACAGGCCUGGUCUGUAUCAGUUCCAGAGGAUUAAACCAAUCCCAGCAGGGUGGUACACAUGAGGAAAGAGCCUGAGGCCAUGAAUGCAGGAAGCCGCUAGUUGUCCAUCUUGUAGCAGGUGUUUGACCGGGUUUGUGCAUAAUUAACUGAUAUCUGACGGCAUGAUUUUUGUGAGGUUUCUUCUGCUUUUUUGGCUAUCGCUUAAGUGUCUAUAGCAGAAAUUCAGAAGUGAAACAAACUAAUACAGGACUUCUCAGAAAAGUAGAAUGUAAAAAGGACUCUUCCUUUCCCUGUGUAUUGCCUGAAGUUAUAUAACAUUUUUUUAAGUCACAGAGAUUUUAAAAUUUUUGUGAUAAAUUUUUAUGGUGUUUUUACUUCACUAUCCCCUGCUCUGUUCCCAGCACCACCUCCUCUCCUUGUUCUGGUUAUUUAUAAAGUAAAUGUAUUCUGCUUCUUGAGCACCAUCGUACUGAAGCUUCUGACAUUGUAGCAGCGUCAAGGCCAUCUCCUCAGGUACCCAUGGAGGAUGGCACACAGCUAUGGUGGGAUUCCUCCCUUUCUGCAUGCCCUGGAGCAGGAGGGACAGAGUUCUACACAGGCUCAGACACUGGAGAAGAAUUUAGAGGAGCUCAGGAAGGGUUUCCAGGAAGGUGACCCUUUGGAGGCAUCAGAGCCCAGACUGUCUCAGCCAAUUGUGCGCUUGUGUUGGAAAGUAAUAGUCAUCAAAAUAUGUGUCAUGGCCCACCCACAACCACCACCAAAUCCUGGGCCGCCCCAGCUGCCUUCCCUCAAGAAUAGGCUUGAUUUUGAAGGCUCUAGGGGAAGCUGGGACCAAAAGUGGGCAGGGAGUGAACAGAAGAGACAGCUUGGCCCUGGAAGACAAACAGAGAGACUUGUUCUUACAAAGCUGGUCCCCCCUCUCCACUGACUUAUUCUUCAUCUGUGCACAGCUUAUGGUUUAGUUUCCCUCCCUCAGAGAGCCAGCUUGACACUUCUUCCGCACAAUUCUGGCAGACAUUCCUUCCUUUGUGCUCCUGUGCUGCCCUGCUGAGGACUCCCAUGAGUCAAAAUUGCCAGAUAAUUUCUCUCCCCACUAAUGUUUACCACUGACUUCAGCAUAUCCUAACUGUGGAGGCCCAGCCUUGGUUUCCUCAUUUGUAAAAUGGGAAUAAUAACUAUCCCUCAGCAGGUUAUUGUGGGAAUUAAAUAAGAUGCAGCAGACUCUGGAAGCUGAGACAGUACUGAGUAAAUACUGUGGUGCUUCUGUUAUUAUAUCGUCACUAUUUGCCUCAGUACUGAGUCAAAUACGUGCUAUAUGCUUAAUAUGUUUGUUGCAAAGGGAGGGAAUGUAUGGACAAGAAAGGACACAUUAAAAAGUCAACUAAUGAUAAAACUCAUUAGUGAAACCAGCAAACAAUCUGGGGGACACAGCAGUAGGGCAAAGAGUAUCAUUGAUUCCCUAAUUGGGGAGACACAAAACCAGUUCACGGAGUGCAGAAGAGUGAACCUCUGCAGCAGGAGACCAGGAGGCAUCACCAACAGGCGGCAGGAGCGGCGAGGUCCUGUGGAGAGGAAAGCAGGGAAAUUUCAGGUGGUGGUCUUCUAGACUCACAACUAUCUUCUUAGAAAAUGCAAGCGUGGAGGACAUUCCCCUCAGGAGCUGAAAUGUCACUGUGUCUCUGGAUCUGUGUCUCGGGUCUGUUUGGUUCUCCCUAGAGAAUGGGAGGUGGUUGCAAUGUGAGGCUCACACAUCUGCAGAGAUGUUCUCCUUGUAAACCACUUCUCUAUGACAACCAUUGCAUGUGUUCUGGGGUAGGGGCCAGCUGACUCAGGAAUUCAUCAAGCCCUUUCAUUCCCAUUCCCAUCAUCAUUAAAAGGGCCUUUACACAGAACACUUGUAAACGCACGGUGAAUGAAUAUUCAUGGAUACACUUUCCCUGUCAGUGGCCCAGAAGGGUGCUGCUCCCAGAGCCGGCUGUGGGGUCCUAUACAGGAGACUGGUUUGGCCUUUGUGCUCAUUGCAGGGAAGAGGGGAAUGAGUCAGCCUUUCAAGUACUCUUCAGUGUGAGGACAGCAGGCUGUCCUCUCUGUGCUCAGCUUGUUAAAGGCUAAGAAGAGCUGGGGAAGGAGUCCGAGGGCUUCCAACUGCUCUUGCCUGCAGUUGCUUCAGUGACCUGGACAUUCUUCUCUGGGACCAUGGAACUUGGUUUCUCAAGCUACUUUUUAUUCCAUGCAUGUUGGAUCCACAGUUCUCAACAUCCUGAUUACAUACUUCUUCUCAGUAUGUAUAACGCCAGCAUUUAAAGGGUGGCUUACAGUUUGUGAAGAGCUUCUACCCACAUUAUCUGAUUCCCCCAGAGGAAAACAAAGCAAAGCACUUAACCCCCUGCCCAGGUGAGGGGCUGGGAGUACACUUACCUCUUUACUGGUGAGGAAUCUGAAGCUUAGAGAGGUUUGCUUGGCCUAGGAAAGGCUGACAGAUACCCUUAGACCACAGGAAACUGAGUCUGCUCAGCAGCUCUCAACUGCACACACCCUCUGCUGUCUGGCUAAGACAGGGUCUGAGUCAAUACCACAAGCCCCAUCAGCUCAAAAUCUGGUCUUGCAUGUUGUACACUAGCAAAAAUCUUCAUUAUAUUUGUACUAUACCAAAAUACCUGUAAUGUGGCCUACUGUUCUAUAUGUGUAUCUUUUUUCCCUCUGGGUGACCUAAUCAAUACGUUAAUCAAUGCUCUCCUCUGUAAAGAACUGUAAAUUCCUGAGAGACUUCUCUGUCCUCUGCAAAGGGAAACAAAGGUCUUCCUCAUUCCUUAGAAGAUGAAGGAUUUUCUCAUUUCCUGAUCCACGCUCAUGACCUCUACUUUGUGAGCUGUGAUAUGUACUAACGGUCGGCAAGUGUAGAGGAAUGACACACACAGCUUUUGCAAUCUCCAACUGCACUGUGUCGCUUGAUAAAAUAAAUCAGCCCCAUGAAAAAAUAAAUCAGCGCUGCUUUUUAAAAUA